rnacentral:rRNA from 1 species
ACUCAAAUGAAUUGACGGGGGCUCACACAAGCGGUGGAGCAUGUGGCUUAAUUCGAGGCUACGCGAAGAACCUUAUCCUGGACUUGACAUGUGCGAAAGCGCUGGGAAGUAGCUGCCGGAAACGGCCAGCCAACGGUAUCCAAUCCGGAACCCAGUACAGGUGCUGCAUGGCUGUCGUCAGCUCGUGUCGUGAGAUGUUGGGUUAAGUCCCGUAACGAGCGAAACCCUUGUUUCCAGUUGCCAGCGAGUAAUGUCGGGGACUCUGGAAAGACUGCCGGUGUCAAACCGGAGGAAGGCGGGGAUGACGUCAAGUCCUCAUGGCCUUUAUGUCCAGGGCUGCACACGUGCUACAAUGGCGUUUACAGAGGGACGCAAACUCGCGAGAGGGAGCCAAUCCCAAAAAACACGCCCCAGUUCAGAUCGAAGGCUGCAACUCGCCUUCGUGAAGCCGGAAUCGCUAGUAAUCGCGGGUCAGCAACACCGCGGUGAAUGUGUUCCUGGGCCUUGCACACACCGCCCGU